UCAGAUGUUGCAGGUGUUGCAGAUGUGUCUGCUGUGUCACAUGAGCAUCAGUAGGUGGCAGGGAGAAGAGAGGCUAUGUCUGCACUCAGUGUUCUGACCUACGAACAUCUGAAUGAUUAGUAGCCUAACAUU